rnacentral:rRNA from 1 species
ACGAACGCUGGCGGCGUGCUUCACACAUGCAAGUCGAACGGAAAGGCCCUGCUUUUGUGGGGUGCUCGAGUGGCGAACGGGUGAGUAACACGUGAGUAACCUGCCCUUGACUUUGGGAUAACUUCAGGAAACUGGGGCUAAUACCGGAUAGGAGCUCCUGCUGCAUGGUGGGGGUUGGAAAGUUUCGGCGGUUGGGGAUGGACUCGCGGCUUAUCAGUUUGUUGGUGGGGUAGUGGCUUACCAAGGCUUUGACGGGUAGCCGGCCUGAGAGGGUGACCGGCCACAUUGGGACUGAGAUACGGCCCAGACUCCUACGGGAGGCAGCAGUGGGGAAUAUUGCACAAUGGGCGGAAGCCUGAUGCAGCAACGCCGCGUGCGGGAUGACGGCCUUCGGGUUGUAAACCGCUUUCGCCUGUGACGAAGCGUGAGUGACGGUAAUGGGUAAAGAAGCACCGGCUAACUACGUG